rnacentral:rRNA from 1 species
UACGAAGGGGGCUAGCGUUGCUCGGAAUUACUGGGCGUAAAGCGUGCGUAGACGGUUAUUUAAGUCGGGUGUGAAAGCCCCGGGCUCAACCUGGGAAUUGCAUUCGAGACUGAAUAGCUAGGGUACGGUAGAGGGAAGUGGAAUUUCCGGUGUAGCGGUGAAAUGCGUAGAUAUCGGAAGGAACAUCAGUGGCGAAAGCGACUUCCUGGACCAGUACCGACGUUCAGGCACGAAAGCGUGGGGAGCAAACAGGA